rnacentral:rRNA from 1 species
UACAGAGGUCCCAAGCGUUGUUCGGAUUCACUGGGCGUAAAGGGUGCGUAGGCGGUCGGGUAAGUCUGAUGUGAAAUCUCACAGCUUAACUGUGAAACUGCAUUGGAUACUAUCCGGCUCGAGGAAUGGAGGGGAGACUGGAAUACUUGGUGUAGCAGUGAAAUGCGUAGAUAUCAAGUGGAACACCAGUGGCGAAAGGCGAGUCUCUGGACAUUUCCUGACGCUGAGGCACGAAAGCCAGGGGAGCAAACGGG